ACAGGGAUUGCCCCAGUAACGGCGAGUGAAGCGGCAACAGCUCAAAUUUGAAAUCUGGUCCCCCCGCGGGGCCCGAGUUGUAAUUUGAAGAGGAUGCUUCUGGCAAGGUGCCGUCCGAGUUCCCUGGAACGGGACGCCGCAGAGGGUGAGAGCCCCGUACGGUCGGACGCCGAGCCUCUGUGAAGCUCCUUCGACGAGUCGAGUAGUUUGGGAAUGCUGCUCAAAAUGGGAGGUAAACCCCUUCUAAAGCUAAAUACCGGCCAGAGACCGAUAGCGCACAAGUAGAGUGAUCGAAAGAUGAAAAGCACUUUGAAAAGAGAGUUAAAAAGCACGUGAAAUUGUUGAAAGGGAAGCGCUUGCGACCAGACUCGCGCCCGUCGGAUCAGCCGUCGCUCGUCGGCGGCGCACUCCGGCGGGCUCGGGCCAGCAUCAGUUCGCCUCGGGGGGAGAAAGGCGGCGGGAAUGUGGCUCUACGGAGUGUUAUAGCCCGCCGCGUAAUACCCCCGGGCGGACUGAGGACCGCGCGUAUGCAAGGAUGCUGGCGUAAUGGUCGUCAGCGACCCGUCUUGAAACACGGACCAAGGAGUCGUCCUAAUAUGCGAGUGUACGGGUGUCAAACCCCUGCGCGUAAUGAAAGUGAACGGAGGUGAGAGCUUCGGCGCAUCAUCGACCGAUCCUGAUGUUCUCGGAUGGAUUUGAGUAAGAGCAUAUUGGGCCGGACCCGAAAGAAGGUGAACUAUGCCUGUGUAGGGUAAAGCCAGAGGAAACUCUGGUGGAGGCUCGCAGCGGUUCUGACGUGCAAAUCGAUCGUCAAACAUGGGCAUGGGGGCGAAAGACUAAUCGAACCUUCUAGUAGCUGGUUUCCGCCGAAGUU
rnacentral:rRNA from 1 species